rnacentral:lncRNA from 1 species
CACCCUCUGCACAUUUAUGACUCUUCCAACUGUGCCCUGCUGCAAGGAAACAUGUAUGACCCUAUUUAACAUGGCCUCAAUUUCAAUCAAACUUUUCGACCUAUAUUCUGGACCUCCUCUAUUAUAGAACUUUACUAUUGUAUAUAUUCUUAACAUGUUCUUGUCCUAAACAUACAUAAAAUGUUUACCACAGAAAGUAAAGCAACC